CAUUCCUGGCACAUAGUAUGCUAUGCUUCCAAUAAACAUUUGAAUUAGUAUUGAAUUAGUGGAUGGUUCAUCCUCUCUCUCUCUAUAUUGUACAUAAUUCUCCUGCUCUCAAAUCUAAUAAUGGAAACAAUUUGCUUAAGCAUAAUGUUAACACGUCACUUUGUGAACAAGUCCGUAACCAAAAAUUCAUAAUACCUUACAUUUACAUAACACUUUGCAGACUCUAAAGUACCUUCGUGUACAUUGUCUUAUUUAAUCCUCACAACUUUAUAUUCCAAUUUUUCACAGGAAGCUGAAUCUGAGAGAAAUGGAGUUUUUCAUUCACAGUCACAGGAAACUGAACCAGAGAAACUGAAUGAUAUGCUCAAAGUCUACACGAGGGAGCCAAGAUUCAAACUCAUGUUGUUCUGAGCAGAAAUCUGACGCAAUUUUCACUCCCGUAUCCCAACUCUCUGGUUCCGUAUCAGAUCAGUUUCCUCUAUAUUAUUUGACUUUGUAUCAGUAACAUCUGUCUAGUGCCCUUGGCCAACAAGGCUGAGGACUCAGAAUCCAGUUGAUCAGGUUUGUUUCAGAUCCUAGUAACUGUGUGAAUCUAGCAAAAUUAGGCUGGCUGAAUGGCUCUACUUGGUGGAAAAACCAGGAUAAAGUUAUCUAAAAGCAACUGUUUUCAAUGCAACUUAUCUGCAAAAAUUUUGAUAUAGUUUCAGGCUAUAAAUGCCUGGAACCAAAGACUCUCUAAAACUCAGUUUAUAUAGAAUUGUAUGUGGAUAGGGGCUUAACUGAGUUCUGGUCAAACCAUUUAUAUAAGUCAUCCCUUAGCCUUAAAAUUACCGUGGUUCUCUCAAAGGAAUAGUUUUUCUUAUUGAUUCCCAGUUCUAAGAAUGCAAGUCCUAUCUUUUAAGGACUGUACAAAUUCUUAAAUAAAUAGCUAUUGGUAUCUACUACAAGAAAAGCACAAAGCUAUUUCUUCCCUUCCUGUUUAUUCAUAAGCAAAUAUUUCUCUUUCCUGAGUUUCUUUGUAAGCUUUCAUUGCUCUUAGUCAUCCAUCCUCAUUCUUCUCUCCCAUCUUCCAUAGCUCAUUCCUGCAUGCAGAAAAGUCAUUAUUAUUAAGGGUUCUCUCUGUGUUUCCUUCUCUUUUGGCUUCCUUACUUUAACUGGACUGCUUAGAGUUCAAAAUCCAUUUCUUUUUGCUAUCACAGAUUGUAAAUCUUCAAAAGCUGGUGACUAAGGGAAGGGAGAGGAACUCUAUUUGUGACUUGGAUCAGAGAAAGGGAGCAGAUGUUAUCAGAUGCCCCAUUUUUAUGUCAUACAAAUAACAUGACUCAAACUGGUUCAGGUGCAGUCUUCAUAGAUCAGAUGAACUGCUAACUUGGCAAAAUGGCAAAAGAGUCACAAAUAAAAGUUGACUUUGGUUUGAUACCUACAAUUAUACCUAAGCCAUAGCUUGCAUUUUGAUUAUCUCUUAGAAGAAAGAAAGAAAAAAGGAAAAAAAAAAA
rnacentral:lncRNA from 1 species